rnacentral:tRNA from 1 species
GCUUUCCUGUGGCUCAGUUGGUAGAACAUUGCGCUAGUAACGAAAAGGUUGGGGUUCAAUUCCCAGGGAAAGCA